UACAGAGGUGGCAAGCGUUGUUCGGAAUUACUGGGCGUAAAGGGCUCGUAGGUGGCCAACUAAGUCAGACGUGAAAUCCCCAGGCUUAACCUGGGAACUGCGUCUGAUACUGGAUGGCUUGAAUUCGGGAGAGGGAUGCAGAAUUCCAGGUGUAGCGGUGAAAUGCGUAGAUAUCUGGAGGAAUACCGGUGGCGAAGGCGGCAUCCUGGACCAACACUGACGCUGAGGAGCGAAAGCCAGGGGAGCAAACGGG
rnacentral:rRNA from 1 species